CUAAAAUGAUGAUGCUCAGAAGGUUUCGCGAACUGGACUGAUGUCUGUGAUGUCACUUCCUCUUGGCUGUCUGAUUAG